AACGUAGGACACAAGCGUUAUCCGGAGUUACUGGGCGUAAAGGGCGUGUAGGCGGACGUGUAAGUCUAUUCUGAAAGCUCCUGGCUAAACUGGGAGAGGCGAAUGGAGACUGCAUAUCUAGAGUGAGGAAGAGGAAAGUGGAAUUCCGCGUGUAGCGGUGAAAUGCGCAGAUAUCAGGAGGAACACCGGUGGCGAAGGCGGCUUUCUGGACCGGUUCUGACGCUGAUGCGCGAAAGCGUGGGUAGCAAACAGG
rnacentral:rRNA from 1 species